rnacentral:lncRNA from 1 species
AUAUUCGACCGGAACUCAGAGGACGUGGAGGUAAACCAGCCAUAUAGCUGAACUCAGGUUAUUAUAAAGGGAGAUUGGACCUGGAUUUGGAUGCAUGAAGCUGAGGGCUCAUGGUGCUGGACAAGGCCUCAUUAAGCAGCAGCAGCAUGUCUGCAAAGCAGAAUCGCACCAAAUACUCUUGUCCAGGAAGGAAGACUAUGAAGAGGGUCUUUCAGAACAGUAGCUCCAGGGGCAGGGGCAGUAGG